rnacentral:rRNA from 1 species
UACGAGGGGGGCAAAUGUUGUUCGGAAUCACUGGGCGUAAAGGGAGCGUAGGCGGGUUCUUAAGUAAGGUGUUUAAUCCCGGGCCCAACCCCGGACCGGCACUUUAAACUGGGAAUCUUGAAUAGUGGAGAGGUCGGUGGAAUUGGGGUGUAGCGGUGGAAUGCGUAGAGAUCCCCAAGAACACCAGUUGCGAAGGCGGCCGACUGGACACAGUAUUGACGCUGAGGCACGAAGGCCAGGGAGCAACGGG